GACGAACGCUGGCGGCGUGCCUAAUACAUGCAAGUCGAACGCAGUGGGGACGGGUGAGUAACACGUGGGUAACCUCCCAUCAGAGGGGAUAACACUUGGAAACAGGUGCUAAACCGAUACUGAUGGAUGGACCCGCGGUGCAUUAGCUAGUUGGUGAGGUAACGGCUCACCAAGGCCACGAUGCAUAGCGGACCUGAGAGGGGGUUUGGCCACACGGGAACUGAGAAACGGCCCAAACUCCAACGGGAGGAAGCAGUAGGGAAUCUUCGGAAAGGGAUGAAAGUCUGACCGAGAAACGCCGCGUGAGGGAAGAAGGUUUUCGGAUCGUAAAACUCUGUUGUUAGAGAAGCGGUAUCUAACCAGAAAGCCACGGCUAACUACGUGCCAGCAGCCGCGGUAAUAC
rnacentral:rRNA from 1 species